rnacentral:rRNA from 1 species
GUACACGCUGUGACUAGCAUAUCAAUAAGCGGAGGAAAAGAAACUAACAAGGAUUCCCCUAGUAACGGCGAGUGAAGCGGGAAGAGCUCAAAUUUGAAAUCUUAAAGGGUUUCCCUUUACGAAUUGUAGUUUAAAGAAGUGUUUUCUGUUGAGGUUUUGGUAAAAGUUCUUUGGAAUAGGACAUCAUAGAGGGUGAGAAUCCCGUAUUUGACCUUUACUUUCAACUUUGUGAUACACUUUCAAAGAGUCGGAUUGUUUGGGAAUGCAGUCCAAAAUGGGUGGUAAAUUUCAUCUAAAGCUAAAUAUUGGCGAGAGACCGAUAGCGAACAAGUACCGUGAGGGAAAGAUGAAAAGAACUUUGAAAAGAGAGUUAAACAGUACGUGAAAUUGUCAAAAGGGAAGCGUUUGACACCAGUGUUGUUUUUCUGAAAAUCAAUUAAAGAACUGUUUAUGCUAAGUUGUUUAGACUUUAUCAGCUAGCUGUUUAGUUUUGAGCUUUUCUUUAAUGCACUUUUCAGUUAACAAGUCAACAUCAAUUUCUUUUGCUGUAAAAAAGCUUGAGGAAGGUGGCUUGAGAUUCGUCUUAAGUGUUUAUAGCCUCUUGCCUAUGCAGUCGGAGAGAUUGAGGUCUGCAGCGUAGAUCCUUCGGGGCUAAAUGCAUUUGUGCUAAGUUAUAGCAUUUUAUAGACAACUUGUUGACUAUGAUUUGUCUUGUAGCUUACUCGCUUAUGUUAUUUUACCUACGCUUAGGAUGUUGAGUCGUAGAGCACGCAG